rnacentral:rRNA from 1 species
GUGGAUUAGAUACCCUGGUAGUCCACGCCGUAAACGAUGGGCACUAGGUGUCGCGGGUAUUGACCCCUGCGGUGCCGUAGCUAACGCAUUAAGUGCCCCGCCUGGGGAGUACGGCCGCAAGGCUAAAACUCAAAGGAAUUGACGGGGGCCCGCACAAGCGGUGGAGCAUGUGGUUUAAUUCGACGCAACGCGAAGAACCUUACCUGGGUUUGACAUCCCGAUCGUAUUCCAUGGAAACAUGGGAGUCAGUUCGGCUGGAUCGGUGACAGGUGCUGCACGGCUGUCGACAGCU